GGGUAUAUAGCUCAGUUGGUAGAGCAACCGGCUUUUAACCGGUUGGUCUUGGGUUCGAGUCCCAAUAUACCCA
rnacentral:tRNA from 1 species